UACGUAGGGUGCAAGCGUUGUCCGGAAUUAUUGGGCGUAAAGGGCUCGUAGGCGGCCAACUAAGUCAUACGUGAAAUCCCUCAGCUUAACUGGGGAACUGCGUGUGAUACUGGAUGGCUUGGAUUUGGGAGAGGGAUGCGGAAUUCCAGGUGUAGCGGUGAAAUGCGUAGAUAUCUGGAGGAACACCGGUGGCGAAGGCGGCAUCCUGGACCAAUAUUGACGCUGAGGAGCGAAAGCCAGGGGAGCAAACGGG
rnacentral:rRNA from 1 species